CAGUAGCGUAUAUUAAAGUUGUUGCAGUUAAAAUGCUCGUAGUUGAAGUUCGGAUGCAGCAGAGCUUGGAAACGCUGUUAUGGUGCUUCCGUUGCUUUUGCUUGUCCACAGUGCGUUGCAAGUACGUAUGUGCUUGUGCGUGCAUUUUACUUUGAGAAACAUAGGGUGUUCCACGCAUGUUACGGCAUGAAUAUUCCAGCAUGGGAUAAUCCGGUACGACUUCCAAUCUGCCAUUUUGGUUCGUAGGUUGGAAGUAAUGAUUAAUAGGGACUAUCGGGGGCAUUGGUAUUUGACUGUCAGAGGUGAAAUUCUUAGAUUCGUUGAGGACCAACCACUGCGAAAGCAUUUGUCAAGGAUGUCUCCAUUAA
rnacentral:rRNA from 1 species